UUUGAACGCUAGCGGGAUGCUUUACACAUGCAAGUCGAACGAGUUGCGGACGGGUGAGUAAUAUCUCGGAACGUGCCCAGUAGCGGGGGAUAACUACUCGAACGGGUGGCUAAUACCGCCUACUAUUGGCUCGGCCGAUAUCGGAUUAGCUAGUUGGUGGGGUAAAGGCUCACCAAGGCAACGAUCCGUAGCUGGUUUGAGAGGACGACCAGCCACACUGGGACUGAGACACGGUCCAGACUCCUACGGGAGGCAGCAGUGGGGAAUUUUGGACAAUGGGCGAAACCCUGAUCCAGCCAUCCCGCGUGUAUGAGAAGGCCUUCGGGUUGUAAAGUACUUUUGGCAGAGAAGCGGUAUCUGCAGAAUAAGCACCGGCUAACUACGUGCCAGCAGCCGCGGUAAUUC
rnacentral:rRNA from 1 species